CCCCUAGAUGUUCUGGGCCGCACGCGCGCUACACUGAACAGUUCAACAAGUCUUAACCUUGGCCGAUAGGUCUGGGUAAUCUUUGAACGCUGUUCGUGAUUGGGAUAGACCUUUGCAAUUAUGGGUCUUCAACGAGGAAUUCCUAGUAAACGCAAGUCAGCAGCUUGCGCUGAUUACGUCCCUGCCCUUUGUACACACCGCCCGUCGCUCCUACCGAUUGGGUGAUCCGGUGAAUGACUCGGACUUUGACGUUCCUAGACACUAGGUUCGUCGAGGGAAGUUUUGUGAACCUUAUCACUUGGAGGAAGGAGAAGUCGUAACA
rnacentral:rRNA from 1 species